GACGAACGCUGGCGGCGUGCCUAACACAUGCAAGUCGAGCGAAUGAAGUUCCUUCGGGAACGGAUUUAGCGGCGGACGGGUGAGUAACACGUGGGCAACCUGCCUCAUAGAGGGGAAUAGCCUUCCGAAAGGGAGAUUAAUACCGCAUAAGAUUGUAGUACCGCAUGGUACAGUAAUUAAAGGAGCAAUCCGCUAUGAGAUGGGCCCGCGGCGCAUUAGCUAGUUGGUGAGGUAACGGCUCACCAAGGCGACGAUGCGUAGCCGACCUGAGAGGGUGAUCGGCCACAUUGGGACUGAGACACGGCCCAGACUCCUACGGGAGGCAGCAGUGGGGAAUAUUGCACAAUGGGGGAAACCCUGAUGCAGCAACGCCGCGUGAGUGAUGACGGCCUUCGGGUUGUAAAGCUCUGUCUUCAGGGACGAUAAUGACGGUACCUGAGGAGGAAGCCACGGCUAACUACGUGCCAGCAGCCGCAGUAA
rnacentral:rRNA from 1 species